rnacentral:snoRNA from 1 species
UCCAGUGGUAGUCAGCUGUCCAGAGCAGUACUGUGCCUGUGAUAGUGUUACACUGCUGGGAGAUAAAGAUCAGUCAUUCCUUCUGGCUGCUGUUGUCACCGUUUUGGAGGCAACUCAUGCCAAAAAGAAGUGGCACUGUGCUUCCCUGAAAGUGCGCUAAAGAAUUGCUUUCCCUCUUCAGUGCUAGUCUGGAAGCAUACAUA